rnacentral:tRNA from 1 species
GGCCGAUUGGUGUAAUGGUCAGCACUUCGGAUUCUGACGGGACGUGAGUUCCGGAGAUGCUGGUUCGAUGCCUGCAUGGGCCU